rnacentral:rRNA from 1 species
UCGGAGGCAGCAGUGAGGAAUUUUGGACAAUGGGCGCAAGCCUGAUCCAGCCAUUCCGCGUGCAGGAUGAAGGCCUUCGGGUUGUAAACUGCUUUUGUACGGAACGAAAAGGCUCUGGUUAAUACCCGGGGCUCAUGACGGUACCGUAAGAAUAAGCACCGGCUAACUACGUGCCAGCAGCCGCGGUAAUACGUAGGGUGCGAGCGUUAAUCGGAAUUACUGGGCGUAAAGCGUGCGCAGGCGGUUGUGUAAGACAGAUGUGAAGUCCCCGGGCUCAACCUGGGAACUGCAUUUGUGACUGCACAGCUAGAGUACGGCAGAGGGGGAUGGAAUUCCGCGUGUAGCAGUGAAAUGCGUAGAUAUGCGGAGGAACACCGAUGGCGAAGGCAAUCCCCUGGGCCUGUACUGACGCUCAUGCACGAAAGCGUGGGGAGCAAACAGGAUUAGAUACCCCCGUAGUCCG